rnacentral:rRNA from 1 species
GACGAACGCUGGCGGCGUGCCUAAUACAUGCAAGUAGAACGCUGAAGGAGGAGCUUGCUUCUCUGGAUGAGUUGCGAACGGGUGAGUAACGCGUAGGUAACCUGCCUGGUAGCGGGGGAUAACUAUUGGAAACGAUAGCUAAUACCGCAUAAUAUUGACUAUUGCAUGAUAGUCAGUUGAAAGGUGCAACUGCACCACUACCAGAUGGACCUGCGUUGUAUUAGCUAGUUGGUGGGGUAACGGCUCACCAAGGCGACGAUACAUAGCCGACCUGAGAGGGUGAUCGGCCACACUGGGACUGGGACACGGCCCAGACUCCUACGGGAGGCAGCAGUAGGGAAUCUUCGGCAAUGGACGGAAGUCUGACCGAGCAACGCCGCGGGAGUGAAGAAGGUUGUCGGAUCGUAAAGCUCUGUUGUAAGAGAAGAACGAGUGUGAGAGUGGAAAGCUCACACUGUGACGGUAUCUUACCAGAAAGGGACGGCUAACUACGUG